GGCCCAGGGAGGUCGGCAACGACCACCCAGGGCCGGAAAGUCAUCCAAACUCGGUCGUUUAGAGGAAGUAAAAGUCGUAACAAGGUCUCCGUUGGUGAACCAGCGGAGGGAUCAUU
rnacentral:rRNA from 2 species